rfam:Schistosoma mattheei strain Denwood, Zambia genome assembly, scaffold: SMTD_scaffold0000038
AUCUAACUGAUGUGUCCCAAAUAGGAUGAAACGCACGUUCUAGAU